rnacentral:rRNA from 1 species
ACGCACGCUGGCGGCGUGCUUAACACCUGCCAGUCGAACGGAAAGGCCCUGCUUGCCGGGUACUCGAGUGGCGAACGGGUGAGUAACACGUGGGUGAUCUGCCCUGCACUUCGGGAUAAGCCUGGGAAACUGGGUCUAAUACCGGAUAGGAGCCAUUUUUAGUGUGAUGGUUGGAAAGUUUUUUCGGUGUAGGAUGAGCUCGCGGCCUAUCAGCUUGUUGGUGGGGUAAUGGCCUACCAAGGCGGCGACGGGUAGCCGGCCUGAGAGGGUGGACGGCCACAUUGGGACUGAGAUACGGCCCAGACUCCUACGGGAGGCAGCAGUGGGGAAUAUUGCACAAUGGGCGCAAGCCUGAUGCAGCGACGCCGCGUGGGGGAUGACGGCCUUCGGGUUGUAAACUCCUUUCGCUAGGGACGAAGCUUUUUGUGACGGUACCUAGAUAAGAAGCACCGGCUAACUACGUG